CAUAGCUCAAUGGUAGAGCAUUUCGCUUUUAACGAAAAUGUUUUAGGUUCAAAUCCUAAUGUCC
rnacentral:tRNA from 1 species